rfam:Pelodiscus sinensis unplaced genomic scaffold scaffold228, whole genome shotgun sequence.
UUUUCAUUCUGCAGAUACUAUAGGCUUAUUGAACAAUCCCUCGACCCUUCUGUAGUGAGUCUGCUUUGUGCAGAAUGGCUGCAGGGAAACUAUUCAGAUAUCCCAGUAGAACACUACACCAAGUGGAACAAAUUCCUUUGGGAU